UAUCUCCCAACAAAAAUAUCUAAGGAACUUAUUCAAGCAACCAAGCCACAUGAUAAAAGAGUGUUUAGGGACUGCCCCUGAAAACCAGACUGACUUGCUUGUGCCAAGAGACAUCUGGUUUUGUAGUCCUGAUCUUAUUCCAAGUAUCAGAGAAGGACAUAAGAGGAGCUCAAUGUUUUGGCUUCAAGCACCUCCAAAUAUCCAACCAUCCCCUGAUCUUUCUUGAGCUACUUUCGAUUUCAAAGGACGACCAAGUAGCCUAUGAGCUUCUGCUCCUAAGAACGUGUGC